rnacentral:rRNA from 1 species
GACGAACGCCGGGCGGCGUGCCUAAUACAUGCAAGUAGGACGCACAGUUUAUACCGUAGCUUGCUACACCAUAGACUGUGAGUUGCGAACGGGUGAGUAACGCGUAGGUAACCUACCUAUUAGAGGGGGAUAACUAUUGGAAACGAUAGCUAAUACCGCAUAACAGUAUGUAACACAUGUUAGAUGCUUGAAAGAUGCAAUUGCAUCGCUAGUAGAUGGACCUGCGUUGUAUUAGCUAGUAGGUAGGGUAAUGGCCUACCUAGGCAACGAUACAUAGCCGACCUGAGAGGGUGAUCGGCCACACUGGGACUGAGACACGGCCCAGACUCCUACGGGAGGCAGCAGUAGGGAAUCUUCGGCAAUGGGGGGAACCCUGACCGAGCAACGCCGCGUGAGUGAAGAAGGUUUUCGGAUCGUAAAGCUCUGUUGUUAAGGAAGAACGAGUGUGAGAAUGGAAAGUUCAUGCUGUGACGGUACUUAACCAGAAAGGGACGGCUAACUACGUGCCAGCAGCCGCGGUAAUACGUAGGUCCCGAGCGUUGUCCGGAUUUAUUGGGCGUAAAGCGAGCGCAGGCGGUUAGAAAAGUCUGAAGUGAAAGGCAGUGGCUCAACCAUUGUAGGCUUUGGAAACUGUUUAACUUGAGUGCAGAAGGGGAGAGUGGAAUUCCAUGUGUAGCGGUGAAAUGCGUAGAUAUAUGGAGGAACACCGGUGGCGAAAGCGGCUCUCUGGUCUGUAACUGACGCUGAGGCUCGAAAGCGUGGGGAGCGAACAGG